rnacentral:tmRNA from 1 species
GGGGGCGACCUGGCUUCGACGUGGGUCGCGAAGCAGAUGCAGUGCAUGCCGAGGACCAGUGACCUCGUAAAUCCAUCUGGAAAACCACAAACGCCAACGACGAGCGUUUCGCUCUCGCAGCUUAAUCCCUGCGGGCGCUGCACCGGACGGCUCACGGGCCGGGUUGAAUCUCCCCGAGGCGCAAGCCGAGGGGGCCUAAGGUUCAUCGCAGCGUCAUUCACGUGAGAUAAGGGUGCGUCAGGCCGCGCGGCGCACCUCGAAAAUCCAGCGGAUCGCUUGUGGUCAGCCUGCCCGGCGGCGGGCCACCGGUUAAAUCAAACGACGAGGCUAAGCAUGUAGUACUGCCUGUAGAGGGCUUGCGGACGCGGGUUCGAUUCCCGCCGCCUCCACCA